rnacentral:lncRNA from 1 species
AAGUCUUACAUUCCGCCCAGGGCGUGAUGACUCAUUGUAGGGCUCAUUUAUGUGGAUACCUGCAUUUUUUGUCAUAAAUAAAGGACGUCUUUUUGCAUUCAAAUAUUUUGUUCACUGUCUUUCUAUUUUUGCAGUUUUCAAAAAUAAAAAAUAUAAAAAAAAAUAUAUACAUUUGGCAAUGUUUUGUUUAGUUUCCACUUC